CCCAGACUCCUACGGGAGGCAGCAGUGGGGGAUAUUGGACAAUGGGGGAAACCCUGAUCCAGCGACGCCGCGUGAGUGAAGAAGUAUUUCGGUAUGUAAAGCUCUAUCAGCAGGGAAGAAAGAAAUGACGGUACCUGAGUAAGAAGCCCCGGCUAACUACGUGCCAGCAGCCGCGGUAAUACGUAGGGGGCAAGCGUUAUCCGGAAUUACUGGGUGUAAAGGGAGCGUAGACGGUAAUGCAAGUCUGGAGUGAAGGGCGGGGGCCCAACCCCCGGACUGCUCUGGAAACUGUGUAACUGGAGUGCAGGAGAGGCAGGCGGAAUUCCUAGUGUAGCGGUGAAAUGCGUAGAUAUUAGGAGGAACACCAGUGGCGAAGGCGGCCUGCUGGACUGUAACUGACGUUGAGGCUCGAAAGCGUGGGGAGCAAACAGGAUUAGAUACCCGGGUAC
rnacentral:rRNA from 1 species